GUCCCUUUCUCUCAGUUAUCAUCGGUUGGUACUUAACCUUGCUUGUAAUUUAGAACAAAUAUUUUUCUUUAUUCAAAGCAGUCCCAACUUACAGGCAUUUUUUAAAACCCUUUUGUUAAGUUCGUUCAACAUGGACCUAGGGAUUUUACUUAAAAUUGGUUUCAUGAAUUAUGAGUUAUCAGACUGGGCAAGUUACAGAGGGCAGCAAGAUAAUGAGUAUGGCUUUGAUUUUAUGCUCGUCAGUUUGUGUAAUUUAAGAGAAAAAAAAAGCCUUUUUUUUCCUUUUUCAGCUUCUUUAUUGUUGUAUUUUGUUUCCACUGUACAUAGGAGUACAUUAUUCUGUAUUCCAAAUUGUUACUUUUCCCCUGCCUUGUGUCAGAAAUCAACUGCAGAAGAACUUCU
rnacentral:misc_RNA from 1 species